rnacentral:misc_RNA from 1 species
AGAGCCUAAAAGGCAAGACUGG